GAUGAAGAACGUAGCGAAAUGCGAUAAGUAAUGUGAAUUGCAGAAUUCAGUGAAUCAUCGAAUCUUUGAACGCACAUUGCGCCCCCUGGUAUUCCGGGGGGCAUGCCUGUUCGAGCGUCAUUUCACCACUCAAGCCUCGCUUGGUAUUGGGCAACGCGGUCCGCCGCGUGCCUCAAAUCGACCGGCUGGGUCUUCUGUCCCCUAAGCGUUGUGGAAACUAUUCGCUAAAGGGUGUUCGGGAGGCUACGCCGUAAAACAACCCCAUUUCUAAGGUUGACCUCGGAUCAGGUAGGGAUACCCGCUGAACUUAAGCAUAUCAAUAAGCGGAUGA
rnacentral:misc_RNA from 1 species